ACAGGGAUUGCCCUAGUAACGGCGAGUGAAGCGGCAACAGCUCAAAUUUGAAACCUGGCGCAAGCCCGGAUUGUAAUUUGUAGAGGAUGCUUCUGGGCAGCGGCCGGUCUAAGUUCCUUGGAACAGGACGUCAUAGAGGGUGAGAAUCCCGUAUGCGACCGGCGCGCACCCUCCACGUAGCUCCUUCGACGAGUCGAGUUGUUUGGGAAUGCAGCUCUAAAUGGGAGGUAAAUUUCUUCUAAAGCUAAAUACCGGCCAGAGACCGAUAGCGCACAAGUAGAGUGAUCGAAAGAUGAAAAGCACUUUGGAAAGAGAGUUAAAAAGCACGUGAAAUUGUUGAAAGGGAAGCGCUCACAACCAGACUCCGCGGGGGUGUUCCGCCGGUCUUCUGACCGGUCCACUCGCCGCCGCGGGGCCAACAUCGUCUGGGGCCGCCGGAUAAGACCGGAGGAAUGUAGCUCAUUGAGUGUUAUAGCCUCCGGUGAUGCGGCGCGUCCCGGGCGAGGUCCGCGCUUCGGCAAGGAUGUUGGCGUAAUGGUUGUCAGCGGCCCGUCUUGAAACACGGACCAAGGAGUCUAACAUCUAUGCGAGUGUUCGGGUGUCAAACCCCUACGCGUAAUGAAAGUGAACGGAGGUGGGAACCGCAAGGUGCACCAUCGACCGAUCCUGAUGUCCUCGGAUGGAUUUGAGUAAGAGCAUAGCUGUUGGGACCCGAAAGAUGGUGAACUAUGCCUGAAUAGGGUGAAGCCAGAGGAAACUCUGGUGGAGGCUCGCAGCGGUUCUGACGUGCAAAUCGAUCGUCAAAUUUGGGUAUAGGGGCGAAAGACUAAUCGAACC
rnacentral:rRNA from 1 species